CCUACGGGUGGCAGCAGUGGGGAAUAUUGCACAAUGGGCGAAAGCCUGAUGCAGCAACGCCGCGUGAAGGAAGAAGGCCUUCGGGUCGUAAACUUCUGUCCUUGGGGAAGAAGAACUGACGGUACCCAAGGAGGAAGCCCCGGCGAACUACGUGCAAGCAGCCGCGGUAAUACGUAGGGUGCAAGCGGUAUCCGGAAUAGUUGGGCGUAAAGAGUACGUAGGUGGCAACCUAAGCGAAGGGUUUAAGGCAAUGGCUCAACCAUUGUUAGCCCUGCGAACUGGGAUGCUUUAGUUCAGGAGAAGAAAGCGGAAUUCCUAGUGUAGCGGUGAAAGGAGUAGAUAUUAGGAGGAACACCAGUGGCGAAGGCGGCUUUCUGGACUGUAACUGACACUGAGGUACGAAAGCGUGGGGAGCAAACAGGAUUAGAUACCCUAGUAGUC
rnacentral:rRNA from 1 species